AACCCAUGAUGUGGACAGAUAUUUAUGAGCUCCUUGAACCUUUCCCAACAAGCCUGGAAAGUCUCAUCAUCUUUCUGCAUAAAACUGACUAAUUUUCUCCUAUAGGAA